GACGAACGCUGGCGGCGUGCUUAACACAUGCAAGUCGAACGGAAAGGCCCUGCUUUUGUGGGGUGCUCGAGUGGCGAACGGGUGAGUAACACGUGAGUAACCUGCCCUUGACUUUGGGAUAACUUCAGGAAACUGGGGCUAAUACCGGAUAGGAGCUCCUGCUGCAUGGUGGGGGUUGGAAAGUUUCGGCGGUUGGGGAUGGACUCGCGGCUUAUCGGCUUGUUGGUGGGGUAGUGGCUUACCAAGGCGUUGACGGGUAGCCGGCCUGGGAGGGUGACCGGCCACAUUGGGCCUGCGAUACGGCCCAGACUCCUACGGGAGGCAGCAGUGGGGAAUAUUGCACAAUGGGCGGAAGCCUGAUGCAGCAACGCCGCGUGCGGGAUGACGGCCUUCGGGUUGUAAACCGCUUUCGCCUGUGACGAAGCGUGAGUGACGGUAAUGGGUAAAGAAGCACCGGCUAACUACGUG
rnacentral:rRNA from 1 species